rnacentral:tRNA from 1 species
AGUCGCGAUCAGACUGAAUGGUAGUUUGCUGGGCCUGUUGCUCCCGGAGGCGCUGGUUCGAAUCCAGUUCGUGACAAC